rfam:Corchorus olitorius cultivar O-4 contig10015, whole genome shotgun sequence.
CGCGGGGUGGAGAAGCAUGGCAUCUCACUAGGCUCAUAACCUAGAGACCGCAGGUUCAAAUCCUGCUCCCGCUA